AGACUCCAAAUGGAACUUACCCAAUACAGAAAGCUUGAAUCCAUUCUGAAAUGCAAUAAAGACAAGGCAAAAUGUUAUCUUUGAGCUACAACACUGGGCUUCCAGUGGUCACUGGGAGUGGACACACAUCCAAUGCCAAACAGGCUGAUAACAGACAGGAAGCUUCAUUAUAAUCAGAAAUGGCCUUCACUGCAGCAUUUUGAAGCUGUCCUGGCACCAAUUUGCACUGACAUCAGCUCACAGCAGGCGUAACAUGAAAUUUAUCAUCAUGGAAAUAUGACCCUUGGCUCAUUAGCCUGAGAAUGAGAAAACCAUAUGAACAAGAAGCAGCCAUCAGAGAUGCAGGCAUCCACUCAAGCACAGGCUUUGGAGACAGGGUGCUGCCUGAGCUGCUUCUGGGCAGGGCUGUGCAACCUUGGAAGAGUGUGGCAUCCUUCGUGGAAGCAGACCCCGGAUGCUAAGCCUGAGUGUAAGCACAUACUCUCCUAAAGUGUUAAGAAGAUUGGAGACAAAUGCCCAUGUUUAAGAAGUUCUCUGUGUCAAUCCCAGAGAGCAGCAAUGAUGGAGUGGUCAGCAGUGGGGCUCUGACUACACCAGCCACACCCAAAAGCGUAUAUCCUAGAACCAUGCUGUUGGUGAGCAGUGCCCAGACUGGAAGUUGGAAAGGAAUCCUUCAGAUCCUGUAGGAAGCAAGAGCAACCAGGAAGGCUCACUCUCAGCCUGGCUGUAAUUCCAGGUCUCUUCUGUCACCAUCUCCCUUUCCGUGAUACAUUGAGCCAGCCAACUCUUGCACCACAAUCUACUGUAAUAGUCACAGACCCAAAGCAACAGAGAAAAGUCACCAUGAACUACAGCUUCUGAAAUCAUGGGGCAGGAUAAACUUUAUCUCGAUCUACAAACCUCUCGGAAUCAACCACUCCUUUUUUGGAGUCACUUGAGCCCUUGACCAAAGGCCUGCCUGAGUAGGAUCUCUUCCUAUGGAUGCAGCAGGAACUCUCUAUCCGCCUCCUCCAGCUGCAGGAGAGAAGAAUUCACCGGAAUGCUGAGAUAAUGCCUGAACUUGCUGAGCCCUCCUGCCUCCUGCCACCUCCAUCAAGUUCUAUCUUUGUCUUAGGCCCUGAGUCAUGCCCUACACCGACCCCUCAGUCAUCUGUGACUCAUAGCAGAGAGCAGUUAUACCCAAUGCUGAGCCACAGGAGCAGACGAUUAUUCUAUUCUUCUUUAUUCUCUCAUUCUCUCUCUUCUUCUU